CCCGGUGGCAAUACCGGAGGGGAAACACCCGUUCCCAUCCCGAACACGGAAGUUAAGCCCUCCAGGGCCGAUGAUACUGCAGGGUUACCCCUGUGGGAAAGUAGGUCGCUGCCGGGA
rnacentral:rRNA from 1 species